rnacentral:rRNA from 1 species
GUUGUAUGGUUAAGUGACUAAGCGUACAUGGUGGAUGCCUUGGCAGUCAGAGGCGAUGAAGGACGUACUAACCUGCGAUAAGCCGUGAGCAGUCGGUAAGAGACAUUACGACUCACGGAUUUCCGAAUGGGGAAACCCACUUAGCAUAAGCUAGGUAUCGCUGCGUGAAUACAUAGCGUAGCGAGGCGAACCGGGAGAACUGAAACAUCUAAGUACCCCGAGGAAAAGAAAUCAACCGAGAUUCCCUCAGUAGCGGCGAGCGAACGGGGAUUAGCCCUUAAGCAUCUUGGAAGUUAGUGGAACGGUCCUGGAAAGGCCGGCGAUACAGGGUGAUAGCCCCGUACACGAAAACAACCUUGAUGUGAAAUCGAGUAGGGCGGGACACGUGACAUCCUGUCUGAAUAUGGGGGGACCAUCCUCCAAGGCUAAAUACUCCUGACUGACCGAUAGUGAACCAGUACCGUGAGGGAAAGGCGAAAAGAACCCCUGUGAGGGGAGUGAAAUAGAACCUGAAACCGUGUACGUACAAGCAGUGGGAGCCCUUCGGGGUGACUGCGUACCUUUUGUAUAAUGGGUCAGCGACUUACAUUUUGUAGCGAGGUUAACCGUAUAGGGGAGCCGUAGGGAAACCGAGUCUUAACUGGGCGUCUAGUUGCAAGGUGUAGACCCGAAACCGGGUGAUCUAGCCAUGGGCAGGUUGAAGGUUGAGUAACAUCAACUGGAGGACCGAACCCACUAACGUUGCAAAGUUAGGGGAUGACCUGUGGCUGGGGGUGAAAGGCCAAUCAAACUCGGAGAUAGCUGGUUCUCCCCGAAAGCUAUUUAGGUAGCGCCUCGGACGAAUACUACUGGGGGUAGAGCACUGUUUGGGCUAGGGGGUCAUCCCGACUUACCAACCCCAUGCAAACUCCGAAUACCAGUAAGUAAUAUCCGGGAGACACACGGCGGGUGCUAACGUCCGUCGUGAAGAGGGAAACAACCCAGACCGCCGGCUAAGGUCCCAAAGUUCUGGUUAAGUGGGAAACGAUGUGGGAAGGCUCAGACAGCUAGGAUGUUGGCUUAGAAGCAGCCAUCAUUUAAAGAAAGCGUAAUAGCUCACUAGUCGAGUCGGCCUGCGCGGAAGAUGUAACGGGGCUCAAACCAGGCACCGAAGCCGCGGAUUCACGCUAAGCGUGAGUGGUAGGGGAGCGUUCUGUAAGUCUGCGAAGGUGUGUCGAGAGGCAUGCUGGAGAUAUCAGAAGUGCGAAUGCUGACGUAAGUAACGAUAAAGGGGGUGAAAAGCCUCCUCGCCGGAAGACCAAGGGUUCCUGUCCAACGUUAAUCGGGGCAGGGUGAGUCGACCCCUAAGGCGAGGCCGAAAGGCGUAGUCGAUGGGAAGCAGGUUAAUAUUCCUGCACGACUUGUAAUUGCGAUGGGGGGACGGAGAAGGCUAGGUGGGCCAGGCGACGGUUGUCCUGGUGAAAGUGCGUAGGUGGUGUUUCUAGGCAAAUCCGGAGACACAACACUGAGACACGAGACGAACACACUACGGUGUGGAAGCCAUUGAUGCCCUGCUUCCAGGAAAAGCCUCUAAGCUUCAGAUUACAAGUCAUCGUACCCCAAACCGACACAGGUGGUCGGGUAGAGAAUACCAAGGCGCUUGAGAGAACUCGGGUGAAGGAACUAGGCAAAAUAGAACCGUAACUUCGGGAGAAGGUUCGCUCUUGACAGUGAAGUCCCUUGCGGAUGGAGCAGUUGGGAGUCGCAGUGACCAGAUGGCUGGGACUGUUUAUCAAAAACACAGCACUCUGCAAACACGAAAGUGGACGUAUAGGGUGUGACACCUGCCCGGUGCCGGAAGGUUAAUUGAUGGGGUUAGCGCAAGCGAAGCUCUUGAUCGAAGCCCCGGUAAACGGCGGCCGUAACUAUAACGGUCCUAAGGUAGCGAAAUUCCUUGUCGGGUAAGUUCCGACCUGCACGAAUGGUGUAACCAUGGCCAUGCUGUCUCCACCCGAGACUCAGUGAAAUCGAAUUCGCCGUGAAGAUGCGGUGUACCCGCGGCUAGACGGAAAGACCCCGUGAACCUUUACUACAGCUUGGCACUGAACAUUGAACCUACAUGUGUAGGAUAGGUGGGAGGCUUUGAAGGCGUGACGCCAGUUGCGCUGGAGCCGUCCUUGAAAUACCACCCUUGUAUGUUUGAUGUUCUAACGCAGGCCCGUGAAUCCGGGUCGCGGACAGUGCCUGGUGGGUAGUUUGACUGGGGCGGUCUCCUCCCAAAGAGUAACGGAGGAGCACGAAGGUUGGCUAAUCCUGGUCGGACAUCAGGAGGUUAGUGCAAUGGCAUAAGCCAGCUUAACUGCGAGACGGACAGGUCGAGCAGGUACGAAAGUAGGUCAUAGUGAUCCGGUGGUUCUGAAUGGAAGGGCCAUCGCUCAACGGAUAAAAGGUACUCCGGGGAUAACAGGCUGAUACCGCCCAAGAGUUCAUAUCGACGGCGGUGUUUGGCACCUCGAUGUCGGCUCAUCACAUCCUGGGGCUGAAGUCGGUCCCAAGGGUAUGGCUGUUCGCCAUUUAAAGUGGUACGCGAGCUGGGUUCAGAACGUCGUGAGACAGUUCGGUCCCUAUCUGCCGUGGGCGUUGGAUGAUUGAAGGGAGUUGCUCCUAGUACGAGAGGACCGGAGUGAACGAACCUCUGGUGUUCGGGUUGUCACGCCAGUGGCACUGCCCGGUAGCUAAGUUCGGAAUCGAUAACCGCUGAAAGCAUCUAAGCGGGAAGCGAGCCCUGAGAUGAGUCAUCCCUGACCCCUUGAGGGUCCUAAAGGGCCGUUGGAGACCACAACGUUGAUAGGUGGGGUGUGUAAGCGCGGCGACGUGUUGAGCUAACCCAUACUAAUUACCCGUGAGGCUUAACCAUACAACACCCAAGAAGUGUUCUG